rnacentral:sRNA from 1 species
UAUCCACACAACAGAUUCAGUAAUGACAGCAGCAGUGCAUGCUUCCCCAUACGGUCCUCCCCGUGUGUGCCUUGGCCCUGAUCGGGAAGGGCCACUGCCAGAGGCA